ensembl:miRNA predicted gene, 25677
CCAGCGGCUUGUGGCUUUCUAGUCUGCCUUGAUCCUCUGGAACGUGGCAAACGUGGAAGCCGGCAGGACUCU